AAGAGUUGAAUUAAGAUACUGCUAAUAUCUUGAACCAAUACUAACCCACUGGCACCCU
rnacentral:tRNA from 1 species